rnacentral:rRNA from 1 species
UACGUAGGGUGCAAGCGUUGUCCGGAAUUAUUGGGCGUAAAGGGCUCGUAGGCGGUCUGUCGCGUCGGAUGUGAAAAUCCAGGGCUCAACCCUGGACCUGCAUUCGAUACGGGCAGACUAGAGUUCGGUAGGGGAGACUGGAAUUCCUGGUGUAGCGGUGAAAUGCGCAGAUAUCAGGAGGAACACCGGUGGCGAAGGCGGGUCUCUGGGCCGAAACUGACGCUGAGGAGCGAAAGCGUGGGGAGCAAACAGG